rnacentral:snRNA from 1 species
CAAGGCAAUCCGUGAAUGGCCUA